rnacentral:rRNA from 1 species
AUACGGAGGGUGCGAGCGUUAAUCGGAAUUACUGGGCGUAAAGCGCGCGUAGGCGGUUCGAUAAGUCUGAUGUGAAAGCCCUGGGCUUAACCUGGGAAUGGCAUUGGAUACUGUUGAACUAGAGUGCGGGAGAGGAGAGUGGAAUUCUCGGUGUAGCGGUGAAAUGCGUAGAUAUCAGGAAGAACACCAGUGGCGAAGGCGGCUGUCUGGACUGACACUGACGCUGAGGUGCGAAAGCGCGGGUAGCAAACAGGAUUAGAAACCCCGGUAGUCC